UACGUAGGGGGCAAGCGUUGUCCGGAUUUAUUGGGCGUAAAAGGCUUGUAGGUGGCCACGCCAAGUUGGAUGUGAAAUCUCCCGGCUCAACUGGGAGGGGUCAUUCGAUACUGGCGGGCUCGAGGCCGGUAGGGGGAAGUGGAAUUCCCGGUGUAGUGGUGGAAUGCGUAGAUAUCGGGAGGAACACCAGUGGCGAAGGCGGCUUCCUGGACCGGUUCUGACACUGAGGAGCGAAAGCGUGGGGAGCGAUCCGG
rnacentral:rRNA from 1 species